UACGGAGGGUGCAAGCGUUAUCCGGAUUCACUGGGUUUAAAGGGUGCGUAGGCGGACAGGUAAGUCAGUGGUGAAAUCUCCGAGCUUAACUCGGAAACUGCCUUUGAUACUCUCUGUUUUGAAUAUGGUGGAGGUAAGCGGAAUAUGUCAUGUAGCGGUGAAAUGCUUAGAUAUGACAUAGAACACCAAUUGCGAAGGCAGCUUACUAAAGGAAUAUUGACACUGAUGCACGAAAGCGUGGAGAUCAAACAGG
rnacentral:rRNA from 1 species